UCCUCUUUUUCUCUCUCAUCACUGGCUUCUCCAGGAACUGCCAACAACCAUGUGACCUUGGGAGCAAUUCCUUGCCAAGUCAAGCUUUCAGAUGAGACCCAGUCUUGGCUAACAUUUUAUGCACCUUAUGAGAAGCCAUGAAGCCAAUGACCCAGGCCAGCCAGGAGACAGAAAGGCAAGGGGUCCUCUCCUGCUGCUAAGAAGAACGCCAGCGUGGUGUGAAGGUAUGGCAUCCGUGGCUUUGCCAUAAUGUCAACCACCACAUCGUAUCAGACUGGAGGCUCGUGAGGUGUUUUGGAGUCGGUCAGAGCUGGAUGCUGCUGCACUGUCUCUCCAGGGGGGCCCAGGGCCGGGUAGUUCUAAAGUAACACUCUUGGUUCCUUGUUUUCUCAAAGGACACUGGAUUUCUUUUCAAAAGUGAUGAUCAGUUCAGGAUAAUUUGCAAUCUUGGAUGGAGCCCUUUUCACAUCCAGGGAAGGAUAAAGUCAGGGCCGGGGCCUGGGGGACCUGUCCUAAUUCCAGCUGUCAUUAGAGCUGGUCACUGGACAGGGACCCAGACUCCCUCGUGUUGGAGGAACAGUGCUUCAUGUCGGGCUUAAGUGGGCCCCCGGCUCUGGGGGAUGCAUUUCCCACCAGGAACACUUGGGCUCCUUCCUAGCUGCAGGCCCCAAGGCACCAGCACAGGGCUUGGUGCAGAGCAGGCACCCACACACGCCUGUUCAAUUAAACUCAGCUCAAUGUGACUUUUUUUUUCUUAGGACUGAGAUUCAGGGAAUUGGGCAAACAUUAACUAAAAAGCAAUGAUGUUUUCUGUGUUGCGCACUGAACUGAAUCUCCUAGUGGAAGAGAAGCUGGAUGUGGCUGAUCUGGAAGUGGGCUUCUCCCCGACUGCAGUCAGUGCUGGCUCGUGUGUGCAGUUGUUCCUAAUGCGCCUGGGGUUAGAGUGGGGAGACCUUGGGGUGAGCCGCCUUGAGUGGGAACCCUGGCUCUGCAGGUGACCGGUGGGGCAAGCCACACGACCCUUCUGAUUCUGUCUCCUCAAUACUAAAUGGGGAGAAUAACAGCGGCUUGCUUUGUGUCAAGCACAUCUCUAAGCCCUUGACACGGAUUCACCCAUGAUCCUUUCAUCAAACCCAUGAAAUCCAAGAAGCCCUAAGAAGAGAAGCGCCACUCUUGGACGUGAGGACACAAAGCACCAGAAGGGGAAGGUGUAGCUUCAAGGAGUGGCAGAGCUGGGACCUGAACGGUGAUGUCUAUGCUGGGGACCUGGCGGGGAGAGUCGAGGAAAACGAGUGUGGAUGAACGGUGUGCUGAAUGCCUGCCUCUCCGAGUUCCUCAUGUUGGAUGAAGUCUCAUAGCCCGAGGCACCAGCACCCACCUGGGGGACCCCUUCACCUGCUGGUGAUGAGCCUGGUGGCUUUCGUCAGUUUUUCUGCAGCUGGGCUCACAGAUCUAAAAACUGCCGACAAACCUCAUCCUAGGUUUGGAGACUGAUUCCAAGAGGGUCCCUCCUGGUACAGAACUGAGAAGUCACACCCGUGGUUUAGGGCUAGAGGCAGAAGAAGCCUGUGUUUGAAGCAGCAAGGACCCCCAUGAGAUGUCUUUCAGCCCAGGGGAUGCUGACUCGAAUAGCUUCUAAGCCUUGGGGAAAUGCAUUGAACCUGAAGCUUUGGGGGUUUUGCCAUCGAUGAACUAGCCUGCCUUUGUGCAACAGAUAACCUUGGCCUUGGGCCCAACCCUCUUUGUGAGGAGAAGAACUCCUCGGAAGGUCUGCUUUGUUCAGUCCACGGGGAGUGGUUUCAAGGAACUGAGUCAAGGAAAGGGUAUCAGCUUGGUUCUCCAGUGUGUGUCCAGGCCUGGGUGUCCCCCAGGCAUGAAGGCUGGCUGCUCCUUUGCACAACUUCCAGAAGCUCCACUUGCCCAGGCAAUAAGACAACCAAACAGGUUCCUCUUGGAGCCCAACAGCCAGGGUGUCGGCAGUGUUCAUUCUAAUGGUGCCGUGUUCUGUGGCAGCUUGUCCUCCCCACUGACUGGAACAGAGAAGACGCCGUGGGCUGCAUCAGCCUUGGAGGGUCAGGUCCUAGGACUGUGGCCAGGGACACAGGGAUAAGUGGAUGAGACCGUGGUUCAUCUGUUUUCUGGGAAGUCAUCCUCCAGGAAGACCGCCAGUCAGCCAGCCCUGUCCUGCUGGAAAGGGAGUUUCCUGAGAACUUAAAAACUCUCUCCGACCUUUCAGAAAGUCCAUCCAGCAUGACCCACCGAAGGUUGCACGGCCUCCAGUGUGAUGUUAAAGAGAGAACCCAUGCCCCUCAAUUGGCUGACGAAUAAGCCGCACGUGGCGUGGCUAUAAAACAGAAGGCUGUUCCUUGAUAAAAAAGAAUGGGCACAGUCAGAGGCUAUAAAAUGGAUGGACCUCAAAAACAUUACGCUAAGUUAAAGAAGCCUCAUGACUUCUUUAGUAAUUAAAGACCUCAUGAUGCCAGUCAUGCAGUUUUUUCCACUUAUAAGAAAUGUAUAGAAUGGGCAAAUCUAUAGAGACUGGGCACAGAUUAAUGGUUGCCUGGGGCUGGGAACUGUAUUGACUACAAAUGAGCACAAGGGUUCUUUCUGGGGUGAUGGAAAAAAAAAAUCCUGAAACUGAA